GAUGAACGCUAGCUACAGGCUUAACACAUGCAAGUCGAGGGGAAACGACAUCGAAAGCUUGCUUUUGAUGGGCGUCGACCGGCGCACGGGUGAGUAACGCGUAUCCAACCUUCCCGCAAGUAAGGGAUAACCCGUAGAAAUGCGGCCUAAUACCUUAUGUUUUCCUUAGAGGGCAUCUGAUGAGGAACAAAGAUCCGUCGCUUGCGGAUGGGGAUGCGUCUGAUUAGCUAGUUGGUGGGGCAACGGCCUACCAAGGCGACGAUCAGUAGCCGGUCUGAGAGGAUGAACGGCCACAUUGGAACUGAGACACGGUCCAGACUCCUACGGGAGGCAGCAGUGGGGAAUCUUCCGCAAUGGGCGAAAGCCUGACGGAGCAACGCCGCGUGAGUGAGAAGGCCUUCGGGUCGUAAAGGACUCUGUUGUCGGGGU
rnacentral:rRNA from 1 species